CCUACGGGAGGCAGCAGUGAGGAAUAUUGGUCAAUGGACGAGAGUCUGAACCAGCCAAGUAGCGUGAAGGAUGACUGCCCUAUGGGUUGUAAACUUCUUUUAUAUGGGAAUAAAAUGUUCCACGUGUGGCAUUUUGUAUGUACCAUAUGAAUAAGGAUCGGCUAACUCCGUGCCAGCAGCCGCGGUAAUACGGAGGAUCCGAGCGUUAUCCGGAUUUAUUGGGUUUAAAGGGAUCGUAGGUGGAUUGUUAAGUCAGUUGUGAAAGUUUGCGGCUCAACCGUAAAAUUGCAGUUGAAACUGGCAGUCUUGAGUACAGUAGAGGUGGGCGGAAUUCGUGGUGUAGCGGUGAAAUGCUGAGAUAGCACGAAGAACUCCGAUUGCGAAGGCAGCUCACUGGACUGCAACUGACACUGAGGCUCGAAAGUGUGGGUAUCAAACAGGAUUAGAUACCCUUGUAGUC
rnacentral:rRNA from 1 species